UACUGCAGAUGUUCCAAGAGCUGGCGGAGAGCAGAGUUCAAAGAGGGAAUAUUGAAUUUACAUUUGUCAAGUGGCUAAAAAACACGACUGCAAACGAAUUCUAACGUCUCUCCGUGUCUGCUCGACGUGUGAGUAACAACUUCACGAGCUGCUGAAACGCGGUGGUGGCUGUGGUUUUGUCGGAGCAAUUAAAGCAGCGUCAAAUCAACGACAUCAUCGCCACAUUAGAGGCCAGAUGUGAUCGAACAGUGUGCUGCAUGCAGGAUGAGGUCUCCAUCAGCACGGAGCUCAUGAUCUGCAGGGGAGGAAUAUCCAGGGGAUGUCCUGUGGUGUCAUGGCUGCCUUCCCACACGCUGUAUUUCAGGGUGCUGAUAUUCUGAAUGGGAUCCAAGGUGGUGCAGCUCCAUCACGAGUCUCGACACCUGGAUGUUAAUUUGGUUUUGCAGCCAGAGAGAUCUCAGCUGGAAACAAACUAAAAUGUGAAUG